UACGGGGGGGGCAAGCGUUGUUCGGAAUUACUGGGCGUAAAGGGCUCGUAGGCGGCCAACUAAGUCAGACGUGAAAUCCCCAGGCUCAACCUGGGAACUGCGUCUGAUACUGGAUGGCUUGAAUCCGGGAGAGGGAUGCAGAAUUCCAGGUGUAGCGGUGAAAUGCGUAGAUAUCUGGAGGAACACCAAUUGCGAAGGCAGCUCGCUGGGACGUGACUGACGCUGAGACGCGAAAGCGUGGGGAGCAAACAGG
rnacentral:rRNA from 1 species